UAAGGUUUUAUCUUAAUUAAAGUGUCUGGGUUGCAUUCAGAAUAUGUAAGAUAAAAUCUUACAAAUCUUA
rnacentral:tRNA from 1 species